CAGCCGCCACGGGAAUAGGAAGGGGGCUAGCGUUGCUCGGAAUGACUGGGCGUAAAGGGCGCGUAGGCGGCGAUCAAAGUCAGGCGUGAAAUUCCUGGGCUCAACCUGGGGGCUGCGCUUGAUACUGGGUUGCUUGAGUGGGGAAGAGGGUCGUGGAAUUCCCAGUGUAGAGGUGAAAUUCGUAGAUAUUGGGAAGGGCACCGGUGGCGAAGGCGGCGACCUGGUCCUUUACUGACGCUGAGGCGCGAAAGCGUGGGGAGCAAACAGGAUUAGAGACCCCUGUAGUCCCUGUCUCUUAUAC
rnacentral:rRNA from 1 species